CCAAUCAUGCUUCAUCAAACAAAAAAACAGAGCCUGAGGAGGUACCUAAGGGAUCGUAGGUACUUGGUCAGUACAGAGGGCUGAGAAAGAAUCCCAACAGUCCCCAGGAUCUUGCAUAACGUGCUUUUGCAGACUGCUUUAGAAGCAGUAAAGAUACAUUCUUACAGAAGUAAUUACAAUAAGCAAAGAAAACAAGAAGAACCAGAGGUCUUUGAGAAAUUAAACUGUCCAGUAUGAAGUCCAGCAGGAACUGGAUCUCAUGGAGGAUAGAAAGAAGAGAGUGGAGGAGAAUAAUGAAGCCCUGAAUAUCCACUCACAGAACUAUUACAGAUCUCAGUAUUCCUUACUGAGUGGCGAUCACCAUUGUGACUGCCAUUGCCACUUGGCACGGGUGAAAACUUCAGCUUAAAAGCCCAGAUUGAAAGUCAGUAAAGAAGGAAAAUCAGAAAACAGGACAUGACUUUUUUGCUGUACAUAACCCCCACGCCAACAAAAAAAGCAGAGGCGGGUGUCUAUCCAGUGGAAGGAAGUACACUGGGAGAGCUGGAAGAGGAGGAGGACAGCAGAGAGGCUCCAUGCAGCACACAGCUCCACAGUACAUUUCCUUUUGCAUUACAUGUACAUAUAUCCUAACCUUCUGCUGAGCUGCAGGGUCAUGAGUUUUGGUUUAGGAUCUUUUCUUAGGCAGGCAUGUCAGAAAACUAAAUGGGUGCAGAAAUGUGGUCCUUUUUUUGUGAAGGACUAGUUCAAGUUCUUGAAACGUUAAAAAUAUUACAUUAUUACUGCAAGGUUUCACAGGUGAGAAACAAAGUUGAGACUUAAAGCUAAGUGUGUUUUCUUCCAUCUUGGUUUGCUGAACUGAUCAUAGAUGUGACUCCAAGACUAAUCUAAGGAUUUGAGGAUGUCAGGUGAUGAUUGAUAUGUUUCCACACUUGGAAGUACAGUGAAUAUUUAAUAGAAGAAAAGGUAAUAAUUUAAGUGGAGAAGAGGUCUUGUAAGAAAAGGAAAAAGAUCCAUGGAGUUUAAGCAGGCUGUGAGAUAGUAACAGCAAAUUACUUUCACCAGAAUAUCUAAGGGCAUUUUACAUUUUAGAUUAAUGUUCUUAAUGGGGCAGUUACCCAUACACUUCUUUGUCAUAGAAUCAUAGAAUUGUUUAGGUUGGAAAAGAUCUUUCAAAUCAUCGAGUCCAAUCAUUAACCUAACACUGUCAAGUCUACCACUAAACCAUGUUCCUAAGUGCCACAUGUACAUGUAUUUUAAAUACCUCCAGGGAUGGUGACUCAACCACUUCCCUGGGCAGCCUGUUCUAAUGCUUGACAAGCCUUUCAAUGAAGAAUUUUUUCCUAAUAUCCAAUCUAAGCCUAUUCUGGUUUUGGAUAGUACUUUUGCACAAGGUAAAAUUACUUCUGUAAUGAACAACUCCAUUCCUUUAUAAAUGUGACUGAGUUCUGUAACGCUUGUCACGCAGUUUGUGUACAGAUAUAGUAUAAUCUAUUUUUACAGUCCUUUGCAAGUGUCAUCUCACUGACAAUAGUUUCUUCACACUCUCAUAUAGAGACUUUCUUGGUCCCUGGAUCUGUCACUGAAUUGUGCUGCAUAUCAUGUAUCUUAAGCUACCAGGAAACAACAGGCACAAUAAAUUAAUCAGUCCCUAUCAUUAGACACAAAUAAAAGUUUGGUGUAUUCCUUUCUGUCAAAAUGACAAUACUAUACUAGUAAAACAAACUGAUCACAAUACAACAUGAAUCUUAAUGCAUUUUGUAUGCUGACAUUGUUAUUGAUUGUUUCAGACAUUUUUCUAUCUGGCCUUCUUUUCUAGCCCAAAGACAUCUAAAGUGAACUUUUAAGGUAAGUACCUAGCACACAAAGCCAGUAACAGUCUUUCAAGCAAUAAAAUGAUUGCAUUAUGCAUUACAGUGAUUUUCUUAGACACUUUGACACCUAAGUGUUAGGACAGUAGUUUGUCAUGGUAGGUUUAAGCUGCCAUGAUAAUCCUUAGCUUUGUUCUUUUACUGUUUCCAGUCUUCACCACAUAAUUUCUCCCUAAAUAAUCUGAAUUUCUGCCUGUUCUGCCUGUGUACUAAAGAAGAUGUAAGCUGUGAUUUAAAUUUUAAGCAUUAGAAGUCAAAACAGAAACACUUGUUUCUAACACAAAGAUGAAGGAAAGGUCAGCAGAGAAGUCAGAUGAAUGGCUGAUAUGGUCUGACAGUUUGAGUAGGCAUAGGAAGAGGAAAACAAUUUAAAGAGAAGAAUUAGUACGAGGCGAGACUCAAAUAUGACUUCAGAUAAUGAGUGGCUGUCUGGGAUGCAAUACCUUCUCACUUCUUAGUGACAGCAACAGACUGAAAAGUCUGAAGAAAGCAGUGAGCACUUACUGGGACAAUCUCCCUGAUUUUCUGUAACAGUACCCCCACACUCAGUAGGGGAAAAGUAACGAGUGUAAAAUGCACUGCAAGUGUCAUAAAGUAAGAAGACCUUAAGCUGAGGAUAACACAAUCUACAGAUGUAGACAGACUUUGAACUAGACCCGAAACAUGUAAUCUGUAAGACUUUCAAAGGUGAAAUCUGCUGAUCAUGAUGCAAAAGAGAACACAAGGGAAGUAUCAGUAUUACUUGUGCCAGAAUCUCUAGUGGCUAAGGAUAAUGAGAAAAUGGUUUUGGGGAAUGCGAUGGAGAAACCUCUGCCAAUAAAAGAAUAAUAAAACCUCUUCUUUUCCUGAAUAUUUCAAUGUUUAUUGCUGGUGGUUUUGUUUUUGACAGCUUGCUACAGGUGGGUAGCAGUCCUGGUUUCAUCUGUGUGGUCUAAAACCUCUACUUGACAAUAACCACAGACUUGUCAGCACCAUGUACCUUCUAGCCCCAUGCAGCAUUUUUCAGACAAACUAUAGCUCUUCCUUUCUAAAGCCUUUUUAGGAAAGACAAGAGAAGUUCAGUAGCUAGGUGGAGACCUUGACUUGCCCAAGACAGUAGAAAGGUCAGGUAGUGUUUCUGCUACUUCAGAAAUGAGACAGUCAUCUGCUUAUUGCCUAACCAUACUUCCUGUAAGGCAGCUGAUAAAAGCCUGCUGUAAAGGUUUUCAUGUCUAUAGCAGGUUAUAAUCUUACAAGUUAACAGAAGCCCAGCCCAUGAAACUCAAAUGGUGAUGAACAGGCCAAUCAUAUGUUAAAUCACAUAAGUGAUAAACUGAUAUGGGGGAAUCAUGCAGGAUUAUCCCUCCAUGUGUUUGGUACUAUAAAGAAAAAGCAGAUUUAUGUUGGUAGGUUAGUAUGAGAAAUGUGCCUUCUCAUAGCCAAAUGUGAUCCCGACUUACUAUACCUGACGGAUAGUAGGUAAGAAGCAUCACCUGCAUGUACUGCAAACACCAUGUUACUGGUGCUGCUGUUGAGGGACCAUGCAGGAUCACAUGUUUAACUCACGAAGCUCAGAGACACCUGUGGAUGGGUUCUUACCAGCUACUAAGACUAUUUUUAAUCAACUCUUCAAACUACCUUAGAACUUUAAUACUAUAGGAUUGCGAAGUAAAUGUUCUACAUUAAUACAGGUGUGAACUACUAAUCACAAAAUGAAAGGAGAAGAAAACCACAAUGUAACAUACGAUAAUGCAUCAACAAAUGUAAUCUGGUAUUUGAGGACUCUUAUUUUAUUGACAAUUGCAAAUGAAAUGGCCAUCUCAUUACUGCUGUGUAUUUUUACCUUAAUGCUUUACCUCUGUGGUAUGAAUGUUAUAUUUGACAUCUUAAAUAAAAUUAUUAAACAUUCAAGAGCUCCAUUAGGGGACAAUUUUUGGCCUGCAAGUGCUUUUCCGGUGUUGGUAACACAGUUCUAGUACACAGGGAACAGAUUCAGCCAGUGAAAACUAGCUUGCACAAAUGUUGCAGAUUUCUAUGAUUUUUUUUUCUCUUUUUUAAGUCUGAAUGUGAUUGAUAUAUCUCCAAACACUGACUAUACAACCUUAUGUCAAGAGAUGAGUCAACUGAAAAAAAGCACAUGCAAAAAAAAUUCAAAUAAAUUAUUUUUCCUUACAAAAAAUCCAACAUUAUAAACCUAUUGCAAGAAAUUCCUGUAUAACUGAAUGGAGAUUGUCUUAAAAAAAGAGCUCCACACAAGAGCAACACCACCAGGACUGCUCUUACAUGGAAUUUAGCAAUCUGUUUCAGCAGUACAGGGAAAGUCUUUCCAAAAAUAUAGUUUUAUCAAGUGGGAGAAACAUGGUACUAAGGCAAAGCCUUGCACAUGCAACACUCCAUUCUCAUAAGACAUUCGGCUGAUUAGUCGGACUAGUUCAUACUCCACUAAAUAUGUGGUUAGAAUAUUUGUUUAGUCCUUUACUGUGGGUUUUGCAGGUCGGUGUUUGCUGUUAGUAUCAAGAGAAGGCAAAAUGAAAGCUUUCUCUGGACUGAAAAUACUGCUGUUUUGCAGGGAAGUAAGUUGCUGCUUCUUUCUAACCCAUCUCAUGUAUUUAACACUUUAAUUAUAUAUGGAGGACAGAGGAAAGUCUAUGUAACUGAGAAGAUGGUGGUACUAUGGCUGUUAACAGGUAAAAAUAAAAGCUUAGUGCUGUCACAGCUUUUCCCGCUGAUGCCCACUUUCCACGAUAAUAGAUGUAGCAUAAGAAAUCAGCCAUGUAGUAGGGUGAUGUCUCAGAUCUGAUUGAGAGAGGUACCUUAAAAAAUCUGAGCAAUUUUGUAGUAACUCAGAACCAUUGUCCCCACGAGAAUAUGAAACAAUGUAUGUGAAAAGUUCACACAGAUGAUUUAGAGAUGUAGAAAAGGGCACUAGGAUAAACAUUUUUUAAAUCAAUGGUUUACUGAGAGUAGGGGUAAUAAAACUAUUCUUUCACUUGCUAGAGGAAAAGAUGAAGGAAAGAGCUGGGAUAUGACAAGCAAGGGAGAAAACUGGGAAAAUCAGACAGAGGAAGAACUUUCAAAAGCCAGUGAUAAGGCAAAAGUAAGCAAAGUUUAUACAUGAAGCAAUCAGAGUAAAUAAUUAAGCGAGAGAGACAUAAGUCAAGACAGGUUUGUCUUUUCAAAGAUCUUGCAAGGACUUCUGAAAAGUAGGGAAAAUUACAAAAUAAGGGAAAAUUCAGAACUUGCUAAAUAGUGGCUGAAGGGCUAUCCUCUUACCAUACCACCAUGUCCUAACUGCCUCUUCAAAUCAUGAUUUUGUCACAAAUAUUUCAGCACAUCUGCAUCAUGCAAUUUUGGUAGCAAAUGUAAACAAUGAAACCUUUAAAUAAACACCAUGAAAAACACUCUUUUUCUGAGUAUUUGGAGGUAAUUUUCAGUUCUCUUACAGAAAUCUUUAAAUAUGUUUUGUCUACAGUCAUUGUUUUUGAAAACAAAACAUUCAGGCUCUUAAACUAACCAAACAACAUUAACUCCUAAAAAUCUGUUCUUUCUUUGCUUUUAAAUAUAGCUAAUGGACCAUAUGCCCAUGACAACACUGACUGCUGUGCUAACUCUAAACUGAAAACCAAAAUAACUUGUAGUUCCAUGUUAUUGAACAUGUUCUAAGUGGUCAAUGAGGUUUCUGUCAUUAACACAACUGCAUGCCCACCAUGCCAGCUGUGCUUAUUCACCUGCUUGUGAAUUCUCUUCUCUAAAACAGAACUGCAAAAUUACCAGGUUCUAGCAAGUCACUUCCUUAAUCAACAUUUGAAAAGCAGCCUUCUCACAAACAAUCCAGAGAGUGGCCACAUGAACCCUGCUCAGGAAAUGGGAACUUGACCUGCUGAAGGAUUUGCAAUGCAAGAAUGCAGCUGCGAUUCCUGAAAGGGCUGAGGCUCUGCCUUUCAGUUCUUGUGGUUUGUGUAUGCAACAGGGUCUCAGAUCCCCCACAGACUUUGUAGAUUUCCUGCAAAGCAUUUAUUUGCUUAGUUGGAUUUCUUGCUAAGCAAGCGUUUGGUAAUUAUGGCAUUCUAGGUACUACAUGAUGUAAAUCAUCCUCAAUUUUAAAAGAUCAUAGUAUACAUUUAUGAAUUUCUGUGGUGGUGAUCUGCAGACCCAGCAGCAUCACAACACAUAUUUCAAAAACAAGCCAAGCUUGUGACCGUAAAGACGACUGUCAUUUGCUACAACAGAAGGUAGUUAUGUUCUCUAGUUUAAGAGAAAAUACUGUCUAGGGGAGGGGAGUCUAACUUCCAGAAUCUUUGUCUCCAGAUACUUCACUUAAGCAAAUCUCUAGUCGUCCUCCCCUCAGAAAAAAAAAAAAAAAUCUGAUUACAUUUUUUUGCUUACAACUACAAUAAAUGACUUGGCUUAAGUAUUUUUCCCCCUUCUUUCUUGACAGAGAGUCUCAGCACGAAGGAUGACAGAUCAUCUCAAAUAAUACUUAAUCUUUAGAAAUUAUUUACAACAAGUCAAUGCCCCCAAGAAUAAAAGAAAGCAUUUAAUGUGGCAGACCAUGAUGUAGGGGAAGCAAUAAAAGGAAAACGCAGCUUGAACUGUAAUAUUGCUGGGUAACUUACAUCUCCCUGCUGAAGGCAGCAGAGUUGCAGUUACUGAACGGCUAAUCUGUUCUACUGUUUUUUAAUCAGAUGUUGGCAUUAUCUGUCACUAAUUGCUUUUUCAUUUCCACUUGUAAUUAUUCCAUUGCAUGUUUGUGGUGAGAAGCUGAAAAUGAAGCAGAUCACCAAGAAAGAAUUAAUUGUUAAUGAAUAAUCAUCAGUAGGAAGCCAAUUUCAUUAUCUUCAAAGAGGUAGCCAGAGAUUAACUACUAACUGGUGUUCUACUUUCAGUGCAUGACUGUAAAGUAAUCGCAAAUAAUCACACCCUCCAACUUCAUCAAUUAUUUUCCAUUAUGUGAAUUGAUACCCAUUUUUGUUUUUGUUGUUUAAUGUUAAUGGUAGUAUUCAAGCUGGGGAGUGCUAAUUGGAAGGUGUUGUAUUCAGUGAGCUUCAGUCCUAAUUAUUAGAACAUCUUUUUCAUUAGCAUAUGAUUCUAGGAGGAAUACAUGGUGGUGGUUACUAAAUUCACUGUGUUAUAAAUGCAUUAUCUUUAUCAAUAAAUUUUAGACAGUAACUUAAAAUAAAGUGAUACAUCCAAAGCUACUUUCUCAGCAAUGUUCUAAAGACGGUAGAUCUGUUUUUCAAACAUGCCAUCAUUAACUGUUUAUUGAGAAAUUCUCCUUAAAUCAACAUGUUGAAAACAAAGACUGCUUGGGAUUUAAGCAAUGGGUAUAAUAGUGUCAAGGUACGAAAGAAAUCAAAUAGAGUAAAAAGCCUGUUAUAUACUAAGCAGAAAUCUAAAAAAAAAAUCCCAUCUGCCUCACCAUUAUUGCAUAGAUUGAUGGUCCAGUGAGAAUUGUUGACUCUCAGCUUUCUAUUCUGCCUUGCUACUGAUUUUUUGUUUAGUCCUCUGUGAUACCAAAAGCAACCAUAAAGAAUAGCUCUCCUAAUGUUUUUAGAUAAAUUCUGUAUUACAAUUUUGCAAUUUUAUUGAACUGCUAUAGAAGAAAUAAUGCCAACUGUGAUUCAAUCUCUGUGUACCAUUGCAUUCACUGAAGCCUCUAGUCGUCUCCAUGUGUGGAUAUCUGAUAACAGUGAAAACAUCGCCUGUAUUUUUUCCAGUUUUGUACCUCUGCAUGUGAAACUCCCUGAACUUUCAUCAAGGGAACAGUCAUUAUCUGUUAGUUCCCUUCUGUUUGAACUGAUUUAAGACAAGUCAGCUUUUAGACACAUUUUUAUGUUUUGCUGGAGCAGGCGACAUAAGGCAAGUGCACUACCUGCAUCUGAAGGAACAAAUACAUUAAAAGUAGUUCUCUUCAUGGCCCUCUUUGGCAGCCUUAAUCUUUAACUGGGAAGAAAGACAAUAUAGCAAUGUUCUGGAAACCUAAAGAAAUACCACUAAGGAAGAUGAGCUCUUCAUGAAUUUCCAGUUUUCUGCAAAAAGAAAGAAUGGAACAUUGCAGCAACCCUUCACACUUCUAACAGGCUGCAUCUCAGAAACACCAGGAAUGAGUGGUCAUAAAUGAUUUCUGAAAACCAUUAUAAUUAACAUAGAUGUUUGACUUUUGCUGAGAAGUAAGAGUUGGCCUAUAUGGAGUUAACCCAUCCAGCGUGACCAGCAAUUUCAGAAACUGGAAAGUUUCAUUCAGCUACAUGCAUCUUCUUAAACAAAAAGCAGCUAAUAGUCACAUCAAGCCCCAUAAAAAAUUGCAAAGAAGUUACAGUGAUCUGUUGUCAAUCAUAUAACUAACCUGUGCCACCUCUGUAAAGUAACAAUAUGCUCCUUUCUCUUUGAAGGUUGUAUUCAAUGUGUUGUGACAGAGCUUGGAUCACUUUUCAGCCAAAACAGUCAAAAGCAGCAAAAGUAAUUUUCUUAAAGGCAAGAUAUUUUUCUCAUCUAUCAUGACAAAGUGUGAUGUGCUGAUGUCAUUGCUGCCACAAAAUACUCUUCAAAUUGUGCACGUUUGCAUUCAGAGGAGGGUGACUUCUGUUAUAUUUCUUUUUUGGCACAGAAUCUGAUGAUCUAUUAAAUAAAUAUUAAUCCCUUGCCGCCUUCAAAGCUGUCUCUGCCAUAUUAGGAUUUUAAAUAUCUUCAUUAAUUGCUUAACUACCUUUUCCUAAAUUCCCCAUGGGGUCCUUUGAUACUAGUCACUCUAAUGUGUUACCAUGUGAUUCAUGGCUUCACUCUGCUGUAACACAGAAUGUAUUUUUAGCCAAUUUUGUUUUACAGAUGUCUUUGAUAAAAUCAAAAUUCAACAUUUUCAGACUCCAAAGCUACGCAGACCUAGAAAUAGCCAUUAUAGUACUACGUUUUAAAAAAUAUAGAAAGUACUUCUGCCUCAGUUUACAUUUGUGGAAAAUGUUUCCAAUCAAAACAAUUCCGUGGGUAAAUACCUUCAGAGUCUAAGCCACACAGAACACAUUAGUAUGAAACUGGCAAAAGAAGCAAUAGAAAAGGUUGAUUAUAUUGAAAUAUCCAUGAUAAAAUUAUUCUUUGAGGUAAUUACUCACAUAAAAAUGUUCUUGCUUAAAAUGAAGUUAUGAAGGAUCAAAAAGGGUCAUAAAGAAAUGCUAGAUCAAGCCAAUUGCUUCCACCUGGUGUAGAGGAUCAUUUAAAGCUGAGAUUUUAAAUAUAGUCCACAAUUUCAGUUGCAUUGCUACAAAAACUAGUGGACAACUGCCUUGUUUUUCCAGUUGCUGCAUGUCACAAGUUGAAAAGAUUGAUCAAAAAGCAGUAACAAUACACAACUUUUAUGUAUGUUCAGAACAUGAUGAAGUUCUGUACACGGAAAAGCUCUCAAACUUAAUCUAGCCACAUAUCCAGGAUAAGAGAGGUGAAAUGUGAAAAAGUAAAAUGGCAACCAGAAAAAACCAAGCUGUACUUUGUGAUAGUUCUGGGAAGAUCACUCCCAAAAUGUAACAGGAGAAACUCACCUUCAGUAAAAUAAUUUUGGCAGCUGCAAACGGCAAACUGCAAACAUGCAUACAUGCUUAUGUAUUUAUGCAUUCAUAUUUUUGAUGCAAAGGUCUGAUAUACUGUCCACUCAUGUAUCCUGCAAAACUGAAUUUGCCCACCUCCUCCAGUCCCUGGAAGAGACCAAAUCAUACGCAUUUUCCCGUAGGAUACUUCACACUGAAAUUACCACAUUGAAAUAUUUUAUAACCAGAGGUUGCAUUAUUUAUUUUGUCAUUGUCUCUUCUGUUUAAUCAUCUUGUUUAGGGGGAACAAAAGAUCUCAUGAAGCAUCUCCUGGCUCCCCUAAUUAGAGAUUUGGGUUCAGUGAUGAGAAUACUGAUCUAAUUAGCUAUGCAUAUUCUUUUGUAAUUGGCCAGGACAAACUGAUCUUCAAGAAGAUUCUAGAUUUUUUUUUGCUGUGUCUUAUUCUGUGGUAUUUUUGUCAUGCUACAGACUCUGAAAAGAGUGUAACAAACAGUACCUGAUUUUUCCCUAAGAAGCAAAAGUUGGGUAAGUGUUCAUCUGUUAUUGAGCCUUCUCCUGUGAACUUCCCAGCUUUCAUUUCUGACCUUUCUUGCAUUAAAGGAGGCAUCUUAAUUUGUAUUGCUAAUAGCUAGCUGUCACACUUAGCCUGACGUAUCGUAGACACAGAUAAAACCACAGGCUUAGGUAUCCCUCGUGUUUAGCCUAAAUUUAAGCUCAUAUGAGAACCCUUUGACUAUAGCUCACUUUGAAAUGAAGGUGAUGCCUUUAUACUAAGAACAGUGUUUUGAAAAAGUGACAUAUUGAUGGCACAGUGGGAGAUAGUAGGAAUGCCAUCUUUUUGUUACAAAGAUUCAUAGCCAAAGGGUUUUCAAGACUAGCUGUUUUUAUUGUUUCCAGCAAGGAAAUGCUGAUCACAAGGAAGAAUUCAGAGGUAGGACCAUAGUCCAAUGCUAGCUAGAAAUUUUACUAUAAGAAAACGCAGUUUUCUUUUGGAUCUGGCUGUCUGCCAAAUUGUUACUCCUUUGUCAUAACCAGACUGGAUUAUUGCAGUGAGCCUCUACAUAGCAAUACACCUAACUAUUCAUCUCAGAAUUUCAGGGAGUAGAGCAUAAAGUUGUCUGCCUAACUGGCUUAUUUGUUGCAAGUGACAUUUUUCAGCUACUCAGAAAAAUGCAUUAGUAUCCAUUUUAUUUCUGGAAAUAAAAUAACUUAUUUGUAGGGAUCACUAAGCACUGUAGAGCUUAUGUCCUAUUUCCAAGAAGUGAAAUUAAGUGGGGUACUUGGAUGGCGAGCCUCCAAUUUAUACAUCUUCUAGAAGACCCUGUAAAUUUGUAAAUCGACUCAGUUUUUAGGCAAAUUGUAGCUGAUUCCUUCAUGUGAGUAAUUAGAAGGAAGGAAACUUCAAAUUUGGUACAUGAUGUCGAAGAGGUGUCUGUAGCCCAUUUAUAGAAUUCAAUGAUAUAAAACUCGUAUUAGAUCAAUCAACUUAAAAAAAUUGUGGAGCUAGAACACAGAGUAUCUUUGUCUUUUGUGUUACCAGCAAACAAAGGAAAAGUGCCUCCUUAAAACAAUAAACAAAGGAGAAUAAGGCUUCCAUAGUCGUAAUUCAGGUUUCCAACAGCAGAGAAAGAUGUUUCCUCCAGCAUUCACUAUAAAGAGGAAUUUCUGACACUUUCAUUAUUUCAUCUUAUUGUCUAUUUAGCUAUAAUACAAACAUGUGAACUAUUAAAUACAUACACAAUUAGAGACCUCUUGGAUCUAUCAUAUAAAUUGUCAGGGGUCGUGUUCUAAAAGCCCAGCUACCUUCAGCUUUAAGGAGAGUAUUAGGCAUUGAAAGUCAAGCAAAACAGUUCAUGACUUACAUGGAACAUUACGAAAACCAGCACCAAGCAGUAUGCCAUUUCUGAUCAAGUAUCAAGGCUCUAUAAUCUCUUCUUUCCUUAGCUGGAUUCUUCACACCACAAUCAAAAUGUCACCAGAACCAACACAGAGUAUUCUGAGGUUUAUUCAGGCACACCACAUCUCAUAGAUUGAUACAAUGGACUGUGACAGCUCUUUCAGAGGCAUUCCAGUCCAUCAUGUCCUGUUGUUCAUGUACACAAGCUUGUGCACUAAAACUCAUUAUGAAAUAUUUAUCCCCAGAAAGGUUAUGUGCAUUAUCAGUAACAACUUCCCCAAACAAAAAUAAGUCAGUCAUUUGCCAUUUUCCCCCAAAGCCCUAAGUGUGCAUCACAAAUUAAGGUCUUCAGAUCUUUAGCUAAGAAAAAAAAAAAAAAAAAAAAAAAAAGACAGCAGGAAAAAAUAUUUAUAAUUUAUUACUGGCUGAAUAAACUAGGCGAAAAUUUUAUGCCUUUCAAACACUUUAAAAGGGCCAACCAACCAGCUGCAAGUGGAGUUUAUAACUGGAAGCCGUGACACACUAUACCCUACAGUAACAUCAAGAGUACUUUUAUAAUACUGUCACCUGAAUACAGCACUACUUCACUUGGCAACAAAGUCCCUGUAUUUGCCACUCGUGAAAUACACUCAAUUCAAUAAUGUAAAAUACAAAGUCAUAUUUUUGCAUUUAUUUAUAGGCUUUCUUUUUUAUUCCAAACCAAAAUUUCAACAUAACAUACAUAAUUCUGUCUGCUUUCAGGGGGAUUUCAUUAGACUAUAAGUGAAUUGCCCUUCUGGCUGCAAAUCUGUUUUCUUUUGCAUUCCCAUCCCUCCUAUGUGCUACAUUCCCUCUUAAAUUCCACAUGGAUUCUAUAGAUUUUAUUUAAGCAGGGCCAAGUUGAAUGAACAGAUCUGCCCUAGAGAAGUUUGCCUCUUUUAGCAUGCAACCCACCACUAAUGCUCCUUUUUCAUUUAGGUUUUCAAUUUGGAUGAAUUCCAAAUAACCAUUUAUUCCAAUAGAAACACAACUAAUUACACAAAGCAUCUUAAUAAAGAAUGGAAACAAGAUUAAAAGCCCUCCUCCUUCUGGUGUUGCAAUGUGUAGAAUUUAUAAAAUGCAGAAAGGUGCUUUAAUUUCAGUUGUAGUUAGGCCUCAUAAACAAUCUUUUAUCCAGUGUUGUAAUACCAAAUAGAACAGUAUUCAAGUUGAAGGCAAAAUAUAGCCACCUUAUAUGCAUUUAUUACACCAGGUUUGCCUUACUCAGUAUGUUUUCUCAAGUUUUGCAAAAGAAUGACAAGCUCUUCACAUAUGAUGUGUUCAGAGCACCUGUUCUGUCCUAGAUAAUUCCCUGCCCUAAGAUCUUUCUGUCUUCAAGAGCUUUGCACACCAUGGAGAGAUAAACAAGCAUGUAACUGAGAGAAAGAACAAUUUUACAGGUCACCUUGAGUCACUGCAAUCAAAACUGAAAUUUGUACAGACUCUAAGAGCACUGUCCAGUUGGCUAAGAUAGGUUUCAAAGAAGCUCUUAAUGGUUACACAGGUGUAAUGGUCCUAAGACAAAAGAAGAAUGAGGCUGGAAAUGGUCAAAUUAGACGAGUUAUGAGACAUAGAGAAGAGUAGGGAAAGAAGGUAUAUUUAAGGAAGAUAAGCAUUAUGUGAGUGAUAAUAAUAGUAGCACUGAUACCAUUAGAGAUGUGAAGAUGAUGACUGAAAUCCCAGAAGGGAAUAACAUACUCUGCAAGUGGGUAAGUCUGAUGACAAGCUUUUUGACUUGAAAUUACGCAACAGAAAGAAUGCAUGUACUAGGAAGGCUAAAGAAGAGAUUUUUCCCAUGUAACCAUUGCCCACAGUGAAGCCUAUGUAAUUACAGAUCUGUGCUGGCAAGAACAGAUUGUGAGAGCACAAAGGAAAGGGGUAUUUCCUUCUGCUACCUCCUCUGCACCACAAAGAAGCUCUGGCAGGAUCCAGUUAAAACAGCUAUUGUACAGCACAUCAGAUCACUUAUGCAAUGCUGAACAGUCAAGACUCAAUCCCUUCAUGAGGAAUCUCUUAUACAUGUGAUGUCAUCUGUUGAACAAAGCACAGUAUUGAUGGUCAAACAAACAGAAAAAAAUCUGGUAAAGAACUAAAUGAGAGAUCUGGAACUCAACAGAAACUUGUGGGAAUACCGGAGAAAGUUAAAGCUGGAGAUUAAAAUGGAGUAAGAUUAUACUUUAAAUCAGGCAAUACCUUGCUCUGAACCUUCACGUUUGUAAGAAAUUUCCAUUGACUCAGAGGUUAUGUGAACGAAUAUUACAGAAAUUUACAGAAUAGCAAAGAAAAAUUAUCUGGCCACCUAGAAGGGCUACUGCCCCUGCUAGUCCUCUUCCUCCUAGAUUCAGUGUCUUUACAUUGUCUUCCAAAAGCAUGGCAUGCUGUUGUCAGUCAUUCAGCUCAGCAGUUUUUAGAGGGAUCGCCAUGGAAAACUAAUGACUAUACAGAAAAGAUGUCCAGAUCUCACUGGCAGAGUUAGUGAGAUUAGGCAAGGCCUUAUAUAUACAUACAUACAUACAUACAUGCCAGUAAGAUUCAUUAUGCCCUCUGGUAUCCAUCCACUUUAUAGCAACAAGCAUCAGAAACACCUAAGAGCUCAGGAGAACAUAAGAGAAAAACAAAGCCUUCCCAAUUAUUCUAGUCAGUCUAUUGCUUUUAAACCUUUGAAAGUUUCAAUUACAUUUCUAAUACAUAGGGGGAAGACACUGCAAAAUAGAAUGCCGUUAUUCUAGGGGAAUUUGUCUUUCACUCUCAACACAAAUGAAAGGAUAGCAUAAACCAGUGAAAAGGGUCUCUUUAUCUAUAGAAGGUAAUAAUUAGUUAUUUAUAUCUUAUCAUUUGCAAGCAUCACUUCCUCAAAUUUAGGGUACUGCCAGCUAGUAAACAGCUAUUUACAAAACCAGGUCACAUUACUUCCUGGUACUAAACUCCUGACUGGUCUUUGCAGUGCUGUUAAAGAUAAGACAACUAGGAAAUCCCAUGAUUUAACAGCAUAAAGGUCAAUAGCUGGGAGUGAAACACAGUAGAAAUAUGCCAGACGCUACAGCCAAAUAGUCAACUCAUUAUAGAGCCUCACUGUAACCUUUUCAGUUCCCUCUCCCCAGCAGCUUACAGAAAGCGUGGCCAUUGCUUCCACAACUGCCUUGAAACCUCAGUGCCCCCACUCUCUCCUUCUAACGUGUUAUGAUAUAGCUACUAAUAUAGCUAU